ACUGGUGGUCCUUGGUACACAGUGAAACCAUCCUCAGGGCAAAUCUUCACUGAGUGUCAGAGGAAUGCAAAAGCUGUUUCAUUCAGAUACCCACAUCUAUUUCUCACUGUAGCUAUGCAAGCUACGUGUCUGCAUUCUGCUCUGCUCUGCCUGGACAGAAUUCUGAUGCAGAUGAAUGAGGAAGAUGUCCUGCCAGGAAGGAAUGAAGAGGGAUGGCAGCGGUGUAAUUUCUAAUUAAUUAAUCCAUCAUGAUUAACUUCUGACAUUGAA